rnacentral:rRNA from 1 species
GGGAUUGCCCCAGUAACGGCGAGUGAAGCGGCAACAGCUCAAAUUUGAAAUCUGGCCCCCCCGCGGGCCCGAGUUGUAAUUUGCAGAGGAUGCUUUUGGCGCGGCGCCUUCCGAGUGCCCUGGAACGGGACGCCAUAGAGGGUGAGAGCCCCGUCUGGUCGGACGCCCAGCCUCUGUAAAGCUCCUUCGACGAGUCGAGUAGUUUGGGAAUGCUGCUCUAAACGGGAGGUAUAUGUCUUCCAAAGCUAAAUACCGGCCAGAGACCGAUAGCGCACAAGUAGAGUGAUCGAAAGAUGAAAAGCACUUUGAAAAGAGGGUUAAACAGUACGUGAAAUUGUUGAAAGGGAAGCGCUUGUGACCAGACUCGGGCGCGGCGAAUCACCCGGCGUUCUCGCCGGUGCACUUCGACGCGCCCGGGCCAGCAUCAGCUCGCCGCGGGGGACAAAGGCGCCGGGAACGUGGCUCCCCAGGGAGUGUUAUAGCCCGGCGCGCAACGCCCCGCGGCGGACUGAGGUUCGCGCGUCCGCAAGGAUGCUGGCGUAAUGGUCACCAGUGACCCGUCUUGAAACACGGACCAAGGAGUCGUCCUCGUAUGCGAGUGUUCGGGUGUCAAACCCCUACGCGCAAUGAAAGUGAACGCGGGUGAGAGCCUCGCGGCGCAUCAUCGACCGAUCCUGAUGUUCUCGGAUGGAUUUGAGUAGGAGCAUACGGGGCCGGACCCGAAAGAAGGUGAACUAUGCCUGUGUAGGGUGAAGCCAGAGGAAACUCUGGUGGAGGCUCGCAGCGGUUCUGACGUGCAAAUCGAUCGUCAAACAUGGGCAUGGGG